CCUCAAUUCAUCAGAACUCACCGAACCUGUGGGCUGAAACCACUGGUAUUUAUUUAACUAAGUGCAGCUGUUUCCUGAGUUUAGCAGGCAAAGGAGCAGGAGGGGGAUGUGUGCUGGAGCUGGGAAGUACUUGGAUGAAAGGAUACACGUGCUCGUUGUAUGCUGCUGCCUUCGUGACUUCCCCAAAAUGCAGGUGGAGAAAGAGAAGAAAUGGGAGCAGUUAUCUUUCUCAGCCCAUUCUGUUGAAGGCUCUUAUCACCUAUGUCAGCUCUCUGAACGAGUUAUGGCCAACGUAGCAGCAGCUUUUUUAUUGACAUUCUCCUGCAACUUCCUCAGUUACUGUAAUCCCUAAAAGCCAUCCAGCAAUUGCUGUUACUUUCAUCCUUGCAGCUCAGGGCCUCUGACACAGAAAGCUCCAGUCUGGCUGCUUUUUCUUCGUGCUUGCUGCAGGCUGUCGCAGCCCGGACCCUGCCUGUCCUUUCUGCGAGGCUAUGGGCUCCCUUAGCUCAGUUUUGUCAUAAGAACAUCCUGGAAGAUUCUCCAGAGCUCUCACAGGCCGGGGAAACCUCCCCUACUGUUAAGGGCAGGACUGCACAACAAACGCUUCUUUUGGUACGUUGCUUGUAUUCACAAACCUUGCAGGGCUGGAGGCACCCAUAAAUGGAAGGUUUUCUACGAUAAAUACACCCGUCUGCCCUUCUGAGAAGCCGGGAAUGGGAUGGAAGGAAAAUAUAACAUACGCUUGGGUCCAUAUAUUUGCUUUGUAACCUGUAACGUGGCGCUUUGUGCAAUGUGAGCACUUCCAAAUAGGUUGCAAAUUACAUGCUAUCUGGUCUGCCAAUUACCUGCUAAGUCUUAUCGCUCUUAACCUGUUCUUAGCUCACUUGACUAGCUGACAGCUAUUCAAGUCCUUUCUAAGGCUAAUUAGGGAAGCAGUCAUUGACAUUUCUUUACUUCAUCCCAAUUGUCACCUUUUUCGGGCACGCUGGAAACCUUUAAAACUUGACUUGCUCACUCUUGCUGUUAGUGAGGUCUGCAGCUGUGAACGCUCCCUUGGCACCCAGCUCCAGCCUCUGGCUUUAGUCGCUGAGUGUCCCAGAAAUGGGAACGAGGUGUAUGAACUGGAUGUCCAGCGAGAAGUCAAGAUCGCUUCUGCAGCUUAGUGAGAAGAAUUAACGCAUUGCUCAAAGCAAAUCAAAGACCCAAGAAGCAGAACAAGAGAAUUCAGAUCAGCUCUCACUGGUAAUGUAAAAGCUGCCUCCUUGGUGAAUCUGUUGUCCGGAACUCAAGGUACUUAACCUUCUCGAGGCGAGAUGCUAUAGAUCUCACUUUGCUGUCCCCUUAAAGUUUCCCUUCUGUACCUGUGCUCCAUCAGUUUUCAAGUACGUUUUUAUAAAGGCCUUUAUACAGACUUGCUUUCAAAGCAGCGGGUAAGCAGCGCUUCAGUGCCAAGGAAACUGCUGCUGUAUUAAUUGGCAUUGAUCAGUGAAGUGCCUGCUAAUAUUGCUGGAGGAAUGGGGGUGGCUUGAGAAUUUUGAGCCUGUCAACAUAAUUUGAUAAGAAUUAAAACUGAGAAACAAAUUUGGUCUUGUAACAGCUUCAUGGACUUUGGGAUAUUUGUGCUGCUUAACAUUAGCAAGAAGCUUCUUUUGUAAUCUAGUCCUCAUAGUUUUCAGCUGAUAAAGCCAAAACAGAGCCCUUUUAUCACAGUAGGAAACUUCCCUCUCCCCUCAGAUUUUGAGCAAUAACAAUUCUGUGGGGUAAUAAUUAUUCUGGAUGCACUGUACCAUGUAAAUUAAUCUGUUGCUUUGGUAGUACUACUCCAAAAGCAACGCUGAUGGUGUAUGCUCAGAAUGAGCAAAUUAAUUAGCCAAACUGUGAAAUCAAAUAAAUCUCACAGCGGUGACCUCUGUGUCA
ensembl:lncRNA